GGAUAUGUGGGCAGAUCAAGGGGAACUGCUUAAAAUGCACGAGACUACAUCUCCAAUGAUCAGAUACGAGCUUAGCAGGAUCUCUGCAGCACUAUUAAUUGCAAUGGGCACCAGAAAAUUGCAUUGCCGCUCAGAGGCAAGAACAGGGCUUCUCCAGGCAUGGUUUCACCCAAUGCUAUCAGAUUUUGGUUGGUUGUAGAGAUGCAAAAAGGGGUUGGACA
rnacentral:misc_RNA from 1 species